CACAGUUUCAAAAAAUAACUUUGUGUGAAUUAUUUUUGAAAUAUUGUCAACGUUGCGAUGAAAAUAUUUGGCGCAAUUUCGCUCGUCUUUAGCAAACAAAGAAGACGUUCGGUCCAGUUUUUUGUUCUAGUCUCGUUCUUGCUCAAGUGCCGUCUCUAACUUCUUCCUAGUGGCUUUAAUAAUUGAAUAGUGCAUUUUCGAGUGUCGGUAAACAACUAAUCGCGACGACUUGUAUGAUUUACACGUGUCCUAACUCGGCCAACAGCUUGCAUUUGAAAGGUGUGUGUGAGUGAUCUCUUGUUUAUCGCGUGUUUGCUUAAGCCGAGAUGCAGGGUCACAAUAUGCGUGUCUGACGUCAUUUGAAACAAACACUUGAUUUCUAAUCAACGUUAGGAUGGUCGAUCAAGUCGUACCUGGUGGCCGCACUUCCUUUAAAAUAUUCAGAUAGACAAAUUGAUGGCAGAUGUGCUCUUCUCUCUUCCAGUUGAACCCAAACUGCUGUUCAGGGGGGAUAAGAAACUGCCAUCGCCAAAGAAAUAUGCUGCCUUCAUGACAUUUGAGGAUCCAUUUGGGUGUGGCCGUUGGUGGCGGGCGCUGAUGCUCUGCCUGUGACAUUAAUAGACUAGCAGACGAAUCGUUUUUCUUCUCAAACUUGUUUUUUUUUUCGCCCGAUAGGACAGUCCUCUGUGUCUUUGCGGAUCGUAGAGAGCCAAUCAUCGACUUCAAUCGACUGAUUCGAUAUUCGUUAUAGGGACGCACCAACGCGCGUGUAAACGCACAAUCUCAUCCGCACAAUAAAUUACCUAAGCCACUUUCUUGUUCACUAUCGCCUAGGGAACAACUGGAACGACAGACGUAGGGAAAUGGGGAAGCAUCAGCUGGGAAGCGUUCGAGUAAAGAGAUAAAUUUAAAAUCAUCUUGCAGAUCGACGACAUUCAACCUCUUUUCUCUGUGUGUCGAAAAAGAAAUGACAGUUUAUCUGGCACAAAAAUAAAUGGGGCGUGGCUGUUUGAUGACGGACAGCUCCAUCAGACAGCCAAUCUCUCGUCAACAUCUUUUGUUUAUCCCUUUCGUACGUGAUACAUUUUUCUAUUCCGUCGCACACAUUUCGUUUUUUUUUUUUUUUGCCACUCUCGUUGCUAAGCAACGGAAUUUUUCUCCACAUCUACGCACUUGAAAACACAAAAAAAACGAUGCGCUUCAAGUUUAACGUUCCUUUGCGACAUAAACGAAGGAGAAAAAAGGAUCGGCAUUUCAGAAAGUCAAUGGCGCCCAGGAACUUCUUUUGUUUGGAUUUGCUCCGUUCUCGGCCAGUGGAUAAUAAAAGACUGGGCACAGAGCGCGCGCGCGCGUCCUCUAUUUUUUGCUGCGUCGCAUCAGCACCCCGUUGUUGUCUUUUUCAUAUUUGACAAAAGAGAAAACUAACGAGUUUCUUUGCCCAUCCUAGUACACCGAGCAAAACAAAAAUUCUAAAACCGGAGACGUGU